GCGCCACAGUUCACGUCACAAACAAACCUGGCUGACAGAGGAGCUUUGCAACAGCUCACCUGAACCUGCAAUCAGAGAUAAUGCGGUAUUUGAGCUUGUCAAAGAAACACAAACAGCUGGAUAACACGUUUUACAGCGUGUUUACUUUGUAAAAUCACACAGAAACAGUGUGGUGACAUUAAUAAUAGUCCUGUAUCUCUAAAAACACCUGUUGAGGCUGCACUCAUCAGUUCACCUGUGGAACCAGCUGAUUGAGCAGCUAGCUGCUAUCUGAUGGAUGGACGAGCUGCUGGACAAACAGGAGCACGAGAGUUUGAUGGGCCAUCCCAGACGCCGGUUGACAUUUUGUCCCCAGUCCGACCGGAUACCACAUAAAAAAUUCACUCAGCCGAGAAGCCAGGAGGAAUACCCUUCUCCCCCCCCACCCUCAGCGUGUGCCUCUCAGUGGGGAGUGCAAGAUUCUGAUGAACAUCUGCCACUGUGGCAUUGAGCGCAUCCUCACAACCUCAUUGAAGUAUCGUAAGGGACGGUGGAGAAAACUGAACAAUGCAUCACCAAUUCUACACUUCCUGCAAUCCAGGCUGGGAGGCGCUACAGGACUCUCCGUUUCCAGGACCAGUCCUAUUUAUUCCAUAUCGUAUUCUGUAUGUACUCUGUACAUUACGCUGCACUUAACUGCUUUUUGAACUUCUGGCUGGAUAAUCUGCAUUUUGUUGUCUUAUUACCUGUACUCUGUACAAUGACAAUAAAGUUGAAUGAAUCUAAAAAAUGUAUUUAGAAAAACAAA